rnacentral:rRNA from 1 species
AUUGAACGCUGGCGGCAGGCCUAACACAUGCAAGUCGAACGGUAACAGAAAGCAGCUUGCUGCUUUGCUGACGAGUGGCGGACGGGUGAGUAAUGUCUGGGAAACUGCCUGAUGGAGGGGGAUAACUACUGGAAACGGUAGCUAAUACCGCAUAACGUCGCAAGACCAAAGAGGGGGACCUUCGGGCCUCUUGCCAUCGGAUGUGCCCAGAUGGUAUUAGCUAGUAGGUGGGGUAACGGCUCACCUAGGCGACGAUCCCUAGCUGGACUGAGAGGAUGACCAGCCACACUGGAACUGAGACACGGUCCAGACUCCUACGGGAGGCAGCAGUGGGGAAUAUUGCACAAUGGGCGCAAGCCUGAUGCAGCCAUGCCGCGUGUAUGAAGAAGGCCUUCGGGUUGUAAAGUACUUUCAGCGGGGAGGAAGGGAGUAAAGUUAAUACCUUUGCUCAUUGACGUUACCCGCAGAAGAAGCACCGGCUAACUCCGUG